CUCGCCGCUUCCCCAGGCACUCUCCCGGCGGCGGCAGCUGCGCCGCCAAAGCCCCGGGCCCCAGCGGCCCCCCACCCCUCACUCGCGCGCUCCCACACUGCCUCCCCCUCCCCGGGGGAAGGCCUUUUAAUUUAUUUAUUCUUCUGGGACUGGGGUGGGGGUCUUGGCUGGCGGGGGAGGGGGUCUCCCCGGGCUCUACCUCCCGCGGCCGGGACUACCCUCCGAGCCGCGGCCGCCGCGGCGUGCGUCCCGGGCCUGCAAAACUGUUUCCAAACUGCCUGGGCAGGAGGCGGGCGCGCGGGGACCCGGGGAGAGGGCUGGGGUCUAAGGGGCCGAGGGUGUGUGUGGACGCUGGGAACCGCGCGGGGAGGCCGGCGUCGACUCAGAGGAGUUGCAAUCGAGGUCCGGGAGUGGCGGCGGCCAAUCAGCGCGCGGCUUCCAUUUUGUGAGUUCAACUCCGAGGCUCCCGGGCUUCGCGAGGACGCGUUUGCAGCCCCCUCUGCCGCUCCUCUCUGGCGGCCGAGGCGCAGGAGCCGCCUCGUCGGGGCUCGGAGCUGGUGUAGCUCAUAUUGGGGCUCUUUUGGGGGUUUGUAAUUUGGCCGUGGGUAGGUAAUUGGCUGGAGCAGGGCGGCAGGGCGCGGCAGCCAAUCAGCGCGCGGCUUCUAUAGGGCUUGAGUUAUUAGACGCUGAUCUCAAAACAUCCUUCAUCAGACACGAAGGAGAGGCCAACAGAUGAGGGAAGCCAUUUUUCUGCAAUGGAAUUAAAUGGCCAAGUGGGUUUUUCCUUUGUUGCAAAUGGGGAAUGUUUUUCCUUUGACUCUACCAUCCAGUUCAGGACGUCUCAGUGUGUUUAACAUUUGUCAACAGGCCCAAGGACUCACAGUUGGAAGACUGGAGAAGACUUUUUAAAAAGAUCUGGAUUUUUCCUUAUGACUUGGAAUCCAUCUUUGUCUUGUAUAACUAGGUCAUAGCACACCAUUCAUGUCAGCAGUUAACAGUUUUGAAUUCCAAAAAAACCUAAGUAAAUGACAUAUUUUUUUUCCUCUUUUUGUUCUUUGGGUGGGUGGGGGGAGCUUGGAGCUGUCUUAAUCUGUAUUCUCUUGACUGAACAAUAAAUUUUUAAAUAUAUCUAGUUUCCUCUAUUAAACACUUAAACCUGGCCAUCUUAUUAACUCCUUCUCUCUUUUUAACAAGGUAAUGUUUUAAAUGUAUAUAGCUUUAGGACUAGCGAAAUGGCAGCAACAAAAAAUUGUGAGCAGUUGUUACUUAGUUUUUAAAAAACCUUUUACAUUGUAAGUACCCAAUCCAUUCUGUCCUGACGCAGUACAGUUUUUAUGUUAAUGUUGCUGAGAUGUCCUUAAUUUUCCGAACCUUCAUCUGCAUGUAUGUCUUUGUCUCUCUUGUCUAAUAUAAGCCAGUUAAGAUGCUUUGAGACGAUCUUUUAUAAAGCUAAGGUUCUAGCUUUAUGCUUUUGAAAAUGCUUACAGCACUAAAUGCUAGUCAGCUUUCUUCCCCGUAGCUUGUACACUUUCUUUGAAAAUCGAUCUAUUUGAAGAAAAACAGCCCUGUUUUUCUGUCUUUGGGGUUGGGGGUUGGGGGGAGCUGGUGGGUGAGGGAAAGGAAGACCUUCUCUUUGUGUCGAGAGACUAAAGCCGUCACAGGAAACUAGAUUAAAACUGGAAAACAAGUCCUAGCUGGUUCCAGCAAACACCAACGUUAAGUGGGGGGUAUUUUCUAUGGUGGUUGGGCGGCUGGUGUGUCUUUUGCCUUUUGUUUGAUUUGACUGUGUAUUUUCGCCUUUUGUCUCUUAAUGACGAUCACACCAUUGCUAUAUCCAGAGCAGUAAACAGUCCUCAGCGAAGCCGCCUUUUUGCCUACCCAACCCUGGAAAGUUUGCAGAAGUGGAAGGAGCAGAACGUGAGGGUGUAACUUACAAAAAGGUAACAAGAACAAAGACACCACCAUAACUCCCAAAUUUCCCAACUAAAUCAAAAAGUAUAUAUGUUUUUACAAUAACGUCUCCAAAACCACCGCCCAGCUUGAUCUUCCAGACUCCAUGGCACCGGGCUGAGCGGGUAAGUAAGAGAAAUAAAAGUGCCUUUUGCCCCUUCGAGGAAACCCUUUUGCAGGCCAAGCAAGGGCUGCGAGUGUUUGGGAGCUGAGGGGAGAAGGAUUCUGGAGCAUUGUAUUUGGCAGCCGGAGCGGGCAGUGGGCGGGGGGUUGGGACACAGAGGACUCUUCGGACCCCGUGCCUCUUCUGCCCCAAGGGCGAGAAGAGGGGCUCCGCAGCGACCCUCGGGGGUUCAUGGAGCCGCCUGCCUUCGCCCCCCUCGCUCUUCCCAGGUCUGAGCCUGGAUGGGGAGAAGAAAUUAAAGUGCUUUGGAGACGGGGGGCUUAAAAGACGAGGGAGCCUCAUCGCUCAGCCUUUGGCCCUCUUUCUCUUUCAAUCGUGAGGAUUCCGCACCCCGAAGCCGGCUUCUCGGGGCUCCGGGGUGCGCCUGCGCUGGCAACGCGAAAGAGGACAAAAGGCCGGCGUCCAUGUUGGCACCAUGACGCAGCAUCUCCGCCCGCAGCCCGGCGCUCCUGUUUUCCUGGCCGCGCUCGCUCCUCCUCCCAAACACCAGUUUUCUUUACAGGCUUCGAGCCCGUCGCGGCUGGGCUGGGCUGGGCUGGACUGGCGGGCCGGCCCGGCCGGGCAGGGCUGCGGUGCUAAUGGCGGCGGCUCUCCCUCCUUCCUCCUGGUCGUGGGGAGCCCGGAGCAGGAGGCGGGCCCGUGGCCAGGUCGGGCCCCGAGAGCCCGCGGAGCGCAGCGGUGGCGACCCGGUCUCGGGAGCCGUUUCGGGGGCCGUGGGCCUCGGGGGCGUCGCACGCUGCGUCUCCCGCGCUCGCUUCAGCCUGGCUCGGCGGCCUGACGGGCGCCAUUUCGCGCGCUGCCCGUGGCUGGGGCGGUGGCGGCCGCCGCGCGCCAGGCGGGAGAAGCGGCCGGGGGAGGGGGGCUGGGUGACCCGGAGGCCCACGCGGGCACCAGGAGGCCUCGCCCCGGGCCGCUUCCCCCUUUCCUCUUUGUCCCGCGCGGGCGGCCGAGGGCCACGGGGUUGGCGGGGCCUCGAGGCCGCCCCGGGUCCCACCGCCUCCUCCGGAAGCCGCGGCCCGGCCUGGCUCUGAUCCCAGGCCGCCCCCCGCUGCCCACCCGGCUCUGGGCGCCCGGGUCCGACCUCCCAGUCGCCCUUUGAGAUCCGAACCGGCGCGGGACGGGGGGUCGCCCCCUUUGUCCCCACUCAGGUCGUGAGGCCCUCGGGGUGGCCAGAGACGCCCCGUUGGGUCGUCCAGGGUGCAGCCCUCCUGCCCAGGUCUCCAGGCAGGAGGUGGGGGAAGCCUGGGAAAACGGAGGGGGGCCCCCCGGAUCCCCCGAGGCGCGGGGCUCCGGGCGAAGCCUCAGAUCUCAGGCCCUUCCCGGGGAGAGUGCGGGCGGGGCGGGCCUUUGGAAAUGCAGAUGAGCCGCCGCCCGGGCCCGGGCUGAACCUUCUGACUCAGCCGCCCCCGGCCCGGGCUGGGGGUGGGGCGACGUCUUGGGGGCUCCCUUUCGGCCCCGGAGCCCCCGUCCACUGUGCCUUCGGCCGGUCACAUCUCUCUCCCGCCACGCCCUGAUCCGCCCUCCACCUUCCUCCCCUCCAGGUUCUGGGCCAGAGAAGGGGCGACAGCCGGGCAACCCCCGAAUGGAUAAUUUUUCCUUCUGUCGACGGCAGGGGCAGGCCUAGUUUGACCCUGACAGUCCUCCCAUUAAGGUAGGUGUGAGUCCUUGCCCAGACCGUGAGGGAGAUUUGGGGGACUCUGGCCUGCAGCCCAGGGAGGGCGGAACCCCAAACCCGCCGGGCUGGUUCUGCGGCCCCGCCCCCCAGCUGCGAGCGCUUAGGGCCGCCUGCUGGGCCGCCAAGGCCAUCCAUCCCCGCCUGUCAGCUUCUGUUGUCAGGCAUUUGGGGCGUGCAAUUCUCUGCCGAAUUUAGCAGCAUCCGAGAGGCUCCACUUGCAAGUAUUUCCCAGUUGUGUGUUUUUCGGCGGGGGGAGGGCCCUGGGUGCCUCCCACUUCUAAAAGACACAGGUCACUGCCAGAAAGCCCGACUGCGCUGUGGCCUCCCCUCCAGCCGUCCCCGUGGGGCAUGUGGGGUGACAAUGUGAGCCAUCCUCGGAUGUCUGGCUGCUAGGGAGGCAAAGAACAGAGACCCGGCCAGCUUUCUUUAUGAAAGGGCCUUCCUUGACGCUUCUCCACCUUCCUGGGAUUCUUGUUUUCUUCUCCAGUCCCCAAAUGGGCAGGCCUGUAUAUAAGCCUUGUUUUUAGAACCAGACAAAGCUGGAUUUGAAACCUGGCGAGCCAUUGAACAGCUAUAGCCUUGUGUAAGCGGCAUAGCCUCCAAGCCUGUUUCUCCAUCUCCAAAAACAAGGCUAGAUCAGUGAUUCUUAGUCGGGAACCGCCUUCAGAAUCACACCCGAAGGGGGACUCAUUGAAAAUGGACCACGGGGCCUGGUGCCCCAGUGUCUGAUUCAGUGGGUGGGUCCUGAGGACUGGCAUUUCUAACAAGUUCCCAGGUGAGGCUGAUGCUGUGGUCAGAACACGUUUUGAGACCCCAGCCCCCAGCCUGGUAACACCUGGGGUUUUGACGCAGACGUGCCAAGUUCCACGCUUGGCACAUAGUAAUUGAUUUCAUUUUAACACUAGCUGACUUCAGGUACUGAAUAGUUUCUCAUCUCAGUGUUUGAGAAGCUCCACAGCUGGAGAUGGCGGCCCUUGGUCUCGGACCCCCCAUGUGAUCUCUGCUUUGUGAUUGCGUUAAUGAACCAUUUGUGUCCAGGUGCUCCAGAUCACACCACUCCCCUAUUUGGGAGGUGUGCCCCCCUCCCGCUGUGAGGGCUACACUGAGCUCUGGGGACCUGUGGGGAUAAACAGGGAGACCUUGCUAAAGGUAUCUUGGUGCUAAGGGAGAUAGUUCGCCGUGGGCUAGGAUCUCGAUAGUGCUGGUGACCUUGGGUGAGUGUCUCCCUUUAAAGUGAUAAGGAUGCCUGCUGGAAAGGGUGGGUGGGAGGAUUAAGUGCCUUAAGGAGGCCCUCCUCCCAAACUUUUAGUUGGCCUUCCUUGUGAUCAUGGUUAUUGCUGGGAGUGGCUGCAGGGGGUGGGCGCUGGGCUGCCUCAGAGCUCCCCCCCCCCCCACCAGUCCACCUGCGGAAGCACGUGUCCCUGCCUCAGGGCAAAGGGGAAUCUAGCGCUCCCGCUCCGUGGGAAGGCAGCCAACGCGGUUCUCCUCCGGAGUGGUUGAGUCCAGCUGGAGGUAGAGGCCUUUCCCCAGCCGCACAGGCUGUUCCAUGGUGGGGUCAAGAUUUGGGUCACACACCCAUGAUCCGGGGAGAAGUGACUCGCCCAAGGUCACAAGGCCACCACCAGUAGAGCCAGGAUGGGGUUCCAGGUGGCUUGACUUGGCAGCCAGCGCCUGUGCCCAUGGCACCCCCUCACCCCAGCUGUCUGGGUUAUUUUGGGCUUCCUCCCGUGCCAGCUGUCUGCUGGCAUCCCUGCCCAGGACUGUCUGGUUGGAAGUAACCGGCGUGGUGCUGUUGGCUCCUCCUGUGAGGGCCAGGGCUGGGUCUUCAAUCCCCGAUGAGCUGCCCUGGGUCCAGCUCCUUUGCUGGGAGGGAAGGGUGUUCCUGCCCAGACUCCCCUCUGCCCAAGUACAGCAAGAGGGCGAAAGCACCUGAUAGAAAUUGAGGUUCACAUUGUUAAUGUCCCAAAAGCCUCUUCUUCUGUACUCCCUGAAACCUGUUUUAAAUUUGGCUCUGCAGAGUCUUCGCUGCUCUCCGGGUGGGGUCUUUACUCCCCACCUGCUUUGGAUAAUUAAGGAAUUGAUGUACGUCUCUCCCAGCUGCACCCUGGAGGGCUCCAGCCAGUUUCUCCCCUCCCUGGAUCCAAUCAGGGAGCCGUUGGGUUGGUUCUCAGCGCGGUGUCGGGACCCACCUGGCUGCACUGUACCCUCUCUCUGCGCUUUGGUCCCUUUUCUUUGUCCCCCCACCAUCACCUCCCAGGGCAGGGAGGGUGGGGCAGUUUGUCCUCUUGCUGCUGUUCCUGCUGGUCCCUCGAGGGCGCCCCGCCCACCGGUCACCCAGCGAACGCGGGGCGGGGCUGCUCCUGGCGCCCGGCCCUGAGGCCUGCGGAGAGAGGGCCACGCCAGCGGAAGGGCCGGCCAGGAGGUGGCAGGACUUGCCUUACUACUGAGUUGCUGGCGUCCCCGCCUCUUCCGGCUCCUCGUCCCGGAACCCUAGUGCGGAGCAUGACCUUUCGGACCCUUUGGGUGGAGACACAGCCUCUGCCUAGGCUGUGCAGUGAGGCGGCCCCACAUCUCAAGUUGCCUGGCCCAGUGCAUCUCUAGCUGGCAUGUGACCUCCAGCAAACUCCUGCACCUGAGCGCUGGGAGGAGCAGGUCCGGCAAUUGGCAAUUUUUUCUUUUUUUUUUUGAGAUAGAGUUUCUCUCUUGUUGACCAGGCAAUGGUGCAUCUCGGCUCACCGCAGCCUCCGCCUCCAGGGUUCAAGCGAUUCUCAGCCUCAGCCUCCGAGUAGCUGGGAUUACAGGCAUGCACCACCAUGCCUGGCUAAUUUUGUAUUUUUAGUAGCGACAGGGUUUGUCCAUGUUGGUCAGGCUGGUCUCGAACUGCCCUCAGGUGAUGUGCCCGCCUCGGCCUCCCGAAGUGCUGGAUUCCAGGCGUGAGCUGCUGCGCCCGGCAGACAAUAAGGUUCUGAGCGUUGCUGAGUCUGGCUUUUGUGAGGGGAACUUUUAGCACUCAAGGAGUGGCCUUGCCCCUGGCCGGUCCCCGAGUGCUCAUGGGCAGCCAAGGCCUGGGGACUGCUCGGGCUUGGUAGAUGUACUUGCCAGGCCAGCUCCCAUCCCUGGGACCUCAGGGAGUAGCUUCAUCCCUGAAGGCUCAGUGUCUCCUGCCUCAUGUGGGUGGCCCCUCUGCAGGGUUCUCAGGCACCCAGGGAAGUGGGUGCCACAGUGUUGCCUCCAGCCUCACUGGAGCUGGCUGGGCUUUGCUCUGACAACACAGCAGUGGCUGGGCCCCUGCAGCUCUCCAGGGCUCGGUUUCCCUGUUGGCCGCACUAUGGCAUAGGCCCCAGUGUGGACACCGAUGAGCUGACCCCCUUACAAAUACCACUUGGCCGCUCCCCCGGGCUUCAGUGACCCAAGAUCCCUUGUGUGAAGAACCAGCUUAAAGAAUCUUUCUUGCCUUCUCCAACUCUCCAGGAAUUCCUAGUGACUGGAAGGGGAGUGACACGGGUCCUCAACCUCUAGCAGGUAAGGGAGCUGCCUCCUGGGUGGGCGUGCCCAGUUCCUCAGCGGGCCCAUCGCGGCCCAGCCUCCAAGGAAGCUCCGAAGCAGCUGGCUUAGCUCCGAGGUAUUUUUAGCUACAGAUUCAGCCCCCUCCAUCACCACAACAGUCAAGUCCAAAUCAAAUGCGCUCCAGGCAGGUGGGACUGGGGUUCUGCCAGCCUCCUGGCCAGCAGGGGUGGGUGGGCAGACUGGGGCCGGUAUCAGCUGUUCUGCCUGGGCCCAGGCCGGGCUGGGAAGGCACACUUGUUCUCAUUUCCCGCCUCCACUUUCGUGCCAGCUUGUGCUGUCAUAAGCAGAGAUUCACAGCCCCAUUUCUUGGAUGGAAAAAGUGGACACUGAGGUCUGAGGCUUCUGAGGACAAUCAGGAGCCUCCUUCUGGGCUCCAGUGAUGCACUCACCAGCUUCUGGUCCUCUUCCUCCACCUCCUGGAGUGUCUUGGCUACCUCCUGGGUCCUAGGGAACCUUGGCCCCAGCCCUACCUCCCCAGCCAGUCACAGCUCCUCCCUGGUCACUCUGGGGAGCUCAGCACCCGGCUGGUGGCUGUGCUCCUCUCCUUCUGUCCUCCAGUCCCAUGGAGCCUGGCAGGCAACUCCUCCAUGAUCUAAACCCCGUUACCUUGAUAGCCCUGCCUGGCCUCCCGUCUCAUGGCCCAGCCACCCCAGAGCCUGAAGAGGUUUUCUAGCUGCCGUGCAUUUGUCAGGCCGGGUUACCCACCCUACUUUUCCUGCCUGCCCUCCAUUGCUGCCAAGCCCAGUGUGCCAUUCAGCGCUCAGCCUUCUGUAAAGGGUUCCCCUCUUCCAGCCUCCGUUGCACCACUUCCCACAAGACUGACCUCCUGGAAAGCUGGAGCAUAACUGCCUCUCAAUAAACGUGUUGCGAAAAA